UCCACGUUUCUCCUCCCUGAACGUGUAUCUUAACGCUAUGUUAAGACUUCAGUCCCUAGUCUCAAUCCCCUUGACUAGGGACUUUUUUU
rfam:Gallionellales bacterium RIFCSPHIGHO2_02_FTLL_57_16 rifcsphigho2_02_scaffold_9958, whole genome shotgun sequence.